AUUGAACGCUGGCGGCAUGCCUUACACAUGCAAGUCGAACGGUAACAGGUCUUUCGGGAUGCUGACGAGUGGCGAACGGGUGAGUAAUACAUCGGAACGUGCCUAGUAGUGGGGGAUAACUACUCGAAAGAGUGGCUAAUACCGCAUGAGAUCUAUGGAUGAAAGCAGGGGACCUUUGGGCCUUGUGCUACUAGAGCGGCCGAUGGCAGAUUAGGUAGUUGGUGGGAUAAAAGCUUACCAAGCCUACGAUCUGUAGCUGGUCUGAGAGGACGAUCAGCCACACUGGGACUGAGACACGGCCCAGACUCCUACGGGAGGCAGCAGUGGGGAAUUUUGGACAAUGGGCGCAAGCCUGAUCCAGCAAUGCCGCGUGCAGGAUGAAGGCCUUCGGGUUGUAAACUGCUUUUGUACGGAACGAAAAGUCUUGGGUUAAUACCCUGGGAUCAUGACGGUACCGUAAGAAUAAGCACUGGCUAACUACGUG
rnacentral:rRNA from 1 species